GUCGGCCAUUUUUUUUUUAUGUUUCGUUGGAUUUGUUGUCGUCCGUUGGCGUGUGCUGUGGACUGCAGCACAUGCGGAGGCCAGGCUUGAAGCCAGGCACGUGGAGCUGCCGCGGAGAGGGCCGACUGGAGAGAGCGCGGGUCUGCGGGCAAAUGUGGAUGUGGAAGGAAGAAGACUCUGAUGGCACAGGCAGAGGCUGGGAAGUUGCAGCUGCAAAGCAACAACCCAAGAUGCAGCAAGUGCCAGAAACUAGGAAGAGCCCAUGGAGGACCCUACGCUGGAGCCUUCAGAUAGAGCAGGGAGCAGCAGGCCUCUGACAUCAGGCCCUGCCCUCCAGAACUUGCCUUCCACGACCAGUGAAGAUGCCUUUGAUCUCUGUCUUCAUUGCUCUCUUCAGAGGUUCCAUCAGCUUUGGACAGCUCUAUAGGCUAGAUGAGUUGCUUCCAGCUACUGUGACUGCUGGGAGGCUGCAGGUCAUGGCGCAACUGCCAGGGUCCCUGACACCCUUGUGGAAGACCUGGAUUCAGUUCCUGGGUCCUGGAAUCACUCUGCCCCAUCUCUUCCUGAGUGCCUUGAAACCAUCAGAAGUCACAGCCGCUAUUCUGCCUACACUACAUCUCAAGACCAUAGGUUUUGUUCGUGAGCUGUGAAGAAUCAGUCCCAUGCCAGUGUGGAAGAGAAAGCCCUAUUUUCUGAUUUGUCACCUGUGAGGACCCUCCUCUGAGGACACUAGCACUCAGACAGAAUCAAACAGAUGUCCUCUGCUGGUUCACUUCUAAAAUGCUUGCUACAACUACAGGAGCCAAAGCUGGGAACUGAGAACUUGAUCCACGUCUUCCAUGUGGCUGGAAAGCACCCAACUUCUUGAGCCAUCACCACUGUCUCCCAGGAUGCACAUGGGCGGGAACUAGAGACAGAGAGAAAUGUGGCCUCUUAGACAAGGAAGGAAGAAGGCUGCUCUGGGAUGACCCAGGCAGAGAGUGGAAGCAUGCACUGCAAAGCAAGCAAGCCAAGGACUGCAGCAACUGCCAGAAGCUAGGAAGAGACCAUGAAGGGUCCUAGCCUGGAGCAUGCAGAUAGAGCAGAGGGCAGGAGGCUCCUGACCUCAGGCUCUGCCCUCCAGAACCAUGGUCCAGCUUCCAGUUUUAAUGCCACACAGAUUGCAAUAAAGAGGAAUACGAAGAACAGCAACAAAAAGACAACUCAUUUGCCCCUCAACAGCCUUUUGUUCAUUUGUUCCAGGACCACACCCAUAGCACCAGCAGUAACCAAAACACACAGGCGAAUGUGGAUGUGGAAGGAAGAAGACUCUGAUGGCACAGGCAGAGGCUGGGAAGUUUCAACUGCAAAGCAACAACCCAAGGGUGGAGGCAAGCGCCAGAAACUAGAAACAGGCCGUGGAGGACCGUAUGCUGGAGCCUUCAGAUAGAGCAGGGAGCAGCAGGCCUCUGACAUCAGGCCCUGCCCUCCAGAACUUGCCUUCCACGACCAGUGGAGAUGUCUUUGAUCUCUGUCUUCAUUGCUCUCUUCAGAGGUUCCAUCAGCUUUGGACAGCUCUAUAGGCUAGAUGAGUUGGUGAGUGUUCUGUUCUCUUUGGCAGCUCCUUUGUUUUCAGAAACACACAGGUGAUUCUGUAGAAAUAGACCCUAAAAAUCCUUCAGCCUCAUCAGGAUUUCACCAGCUUUACAUGCACGUGUGUGUGUGUGUGUGUGUGUGUGUGUUGCUGUAUGAAAUACAUCAGCUCAGUAAUACGGUGCUAGAAAAAGAAGAUCCAUGUAGGAAAUGGCAUACUAAGAAGGUAGCUGGAGGAAGGAGAU